UCUGAUGGCGACCGGCGUACGGGUGAGUAACGCGUAUCCAACCUGCCCUUUACUAUGGGACAGCCCGUCGAAAGGCGGAUUAAUACCGUAUGUUGUCAUGUUGAUGCAUAUUUUCAUGACCAAAGGCUUCGGCCGGUAAAGGAUGGGGAUGCGUCUGAUUAGCUUGCCGGCGGGGUAACGGCCCACCGGGGCGACGAUCAGUAGGGGUUCUGAGAGGAAGGUCCCCCACAUUGGAACUGAGACACGGUCCAAACUCCUACGGGAGGCAGCAG
rnacentral:rRNA from 1 species